rnacentral:rRNA from 1 species
UACGAACCGUCCGAACGUUAUUCGGAAUCACUGGGCUUAAAGGGUGCGUAGGCGGCGCGGAAAGUUGGGUGUGAAAUCCCUCGGCUCAACCGAGGAACUGCGCCCAAAACUACCGUGCUCGAGGGAGAUAGAGGUGAGCGGAACUUAGGGUGGAGCGGUGAAAUGCGUUGAUAUCCUAAGGAACACCAGUGGCGAAGGCGACACGCUGGGCCGUACCUGACACUGAUGCGCGACAGCAUGGGGAGCAAACAGG